rnacentral:tRNA from 1 species
UCCCUGGUAGUCUGGUGGUUAAGACUUUGCCUUCCAGUGCAGGGGGUGGAGGUUCGAUCCCUGCUCAGGGAG